rnacentral:rRNA from 1 species
GAUGAACGCUAGCGGCAGGCCUAACACAUGCAAGUCGAGGGGUAUAAAGAGCUUGCUUUUUAGAGACCGGCAAACGGUGCGGAACACGUACGCAAUCUGCCCUUAUCACGGGGAUAGCCCAGAGAAAUUUGGAUUAAUACCCGAUAGUAUUAUAAUAAGGCAUCUUGUUGUAAUUAAAGCUAUGGCGGAUAAGGAUGAGCGUGCGCAAGAUUAGCUAGUUGGUGAGGUAACGGCUCACCAAGGCGACGAUCUUUAGCUGAUGUGAGAGCAUGAUCAGCCACACGGGCACUGAGACACGGGCCCGACUCCUACGGGAGGCAGCAG